rnacentral:rRNA from 1 species
GAUGAACGCUAGCGGCAGGCCUAAUACAUGCAAGUCGAACGGAUAUAUGUUUUUCGGAAUAUAUAUUAGUGGCGCACGGGUGAGUAACACGUACAUAACUUGCCCUCAAGCGGGGGAUAGCCUUGGGAAACUGAGAGUAAUACCCCAUAGAAUUAUUGGACGGCAUCGUUUGAUAAUUAAAACUACGGUGUUUGGGGAUAGAUGUGCGUCUGAUUAGCUAGUUGGUGAGGUAACUGCUCACCAAGGCGACGAUCAGUAGGGGGCGUGAGAGCGUGGCCCCCCCACACGGGUACUGAGACACGGACCCGACUCCUACGGGAGGCAGCAGUAAGGAAUAUUGGUCAAUGGGAGGGAACUCUGAACCAGCCAUGCCGCGUGAAGGAUGACGGCCCUCUGGGUUGUAAACUUCUUUUGGAUGGGGCGAAAAAACGGGAUUUAUCCUGGACUGACGGUACCAUCAGAAUAAGCACCGGCUAACUCCGUG